UGCAUGUCAGCACCAAUGAUGUUGGGAAAUGCAGCCGGGAAGUCCUGCGAGCCAAAUUUGGGCUGCUAGGAUAGAAUUCCAGGACCCGCAAGGCAGUGGGAAUUCCAUAUACAGCUUGGGAGAAGGAGUCUGGGACCGUUAAGGUCACUUAGGUUGUAACUGUGACUGGAUGGAAAGAUGUGCUUUAUGUAGCUCUGUGUAAAGAACAUAAUUGUUAUAUUUAUUUCAAGCAAAAAUAAAUACUUGGUGGUGGUUGUUUA